rnacentral:rRNA from 1 species
UACAGAGGUCUCAAGCGUUGUUCGGAUUCAUUGGGCGUAAAGGGUGCGUAGGCGGCGCGGUAAGUCGGGUGUGAAAUCUUGGAGCUUAACUCCGAAACUGCAUUCGAUACUGCCGUGCUUGAGGACUGGAGAGGAGACUGGAAUUUACGGUGUAGCGGUGAAAUGCGUAGAUAUCGUAAGGAAGACCAGUGGCGAAGGCGGGUCUCUGGACAGUUCCUGACACUGAGUCACGAAGUCCACAGGAGCAAAC